AGAUUGCGACCGGCGCACGGGUGAGUAACACGUAUCCAACCUGCCGAUAACUCGGGGAUAGCCUUUCGAAAGAAAGAUUAAUACCCGAUAGUAUAAUCAGACCGCAUGGUUUGAUUAUUAAAGAAUUUCGGUUAUCGAUGGGGAUGCGUUCCAUUAGGCAGUUGGUGAGGUAACGGCUCACCAAACCUUCGAUGGAUAGGGGUUCUGAGAGGAAGGUCCCCCACAUUGGAACUGAGACACGGUCCAA
rnacentral:rRNA from 1 species